rnacentral:misc_RNA from 1 species
GAGGAAUAUCAUUGCAGCUGCUUAAACCCUCUUUCAGUAUACACUUUCUUCUGAUAAUGGCUUCUGCAAAUGGGAUGUCCACUGCCUCUAUCCUUUCUUCUUCCUCUAAACAGGUGGGGUUGAAAGGAAGAAGGGUGAACCAAUUGCAGGGACAGAAAUUCAAUAAUAAGGCUUCAAAGAGCCGAUUAGUAGUAAGGGCGAAUGCUAAAGAUAUUGCAUUUGACCAGAAAUCAAGAGCUGCCCUUCAAGCAGGAAUUGAUAAGCUCGUUAAUGUUGUCGGUGUCACUCUUGGUCCUAGGGGGAGGAAUGUGGUUUUAGACGAAUAUGAUACCCCGAAAGUAGUGAACGAUGGAGUCACGAUUGCUCGAGCCAUAGAGCUAGCUGAUGCCAUGGAAAAUGCAGGCGCAACCCUUAUCAGAGAGGUUGCAAGCCUAACCAAUGAUGCUGCUGGUGACGGGACAACAACUGCAUCUGUUCUUGCCAGGGAAAUCAUUAAGCAUGGUCUUUUAAGUGUUACAUCUGGUGCAAAUCCA